UUUGGAGAUGUGGACAGAGUUUGAGAAGAUCCUUGAAUCAUUCCCAUGCUUUAUAUGAAUUUUCCUUUUGAUUUCUAUUCAAAGCUCAAGAUUUCAUUCUUCACCUU
rfam:Capsicum annuum cultivar Zunla-1 chromosome 1, whole genome shotgun sequence